rnacentral:rRNA from 1 species
CGGAGGAUCCAAGCGUUAUCCGGAUUUAUUGGGUUUAAAGGGUGCGUAGGCGGCUUAUUAAGUCAGGGGUGAAAGACGGUGGCUCAACCAUCGCAGUGCCCUUGAUACUGAUGAGCUUGAAUACACUAGAGGUAGGCGGAAUGUGACAAGUAGCGGUGAAAUGCAUAGAUAUGUCACAGAACACCGAUUGCGAAGGCAGCUUACUAUGGUGUGAUUGACGCUGAGGCACGAAAGCGUGGGGAUCAAACAGGAUUAGAUACCCUGGUAGUCCACGCCCUAAACGAUGAAUACUCGCUGUUAGCGAUAUACAGUUAGCGGCUAAGCGAAAGCGUUAAGUAUUCCACCUGGGGAGUACGCCCGCAAGGGUG